CUGGCGGCACGCUUAACACAUGCAAGUCGAACGAGAUCUUCGGAUCUAGUGGCAGACGGGUGAGUAACGCGUGGGAACCUGCCCAGUAGUAGAGAAUAACUUGGGGAAACUUAAGCUAAUACUUUAUACGUCCUUUGGGAGAAAGCUUUAUGCGCUAUUGGAUGGGCCCGCGUUAGAUUAGUUUGUUGGUGAGGUAAUGGCUCACCAAGACUACGAUCUAUAGCUGGUCUGAGAGGAUGAUCAGCCACACUGGGACUGAGACACGGCCCAGACUCCUACGGGAGGCAGCAGUGGGGAAUAUUGGACAAUGGGGGCAACCCUGAUCCAGCGAUGCCGCGUGAGUGAUGAAGGCCUUAGGGUUGUAAAACUCUUUCGUCAGGGAAGAUAAUGACGGUACCUGAAGAAGAAGAUCCGGCUAACUCCGUGCCAGCAGCCGCGGUAAUACGGAGGGAUCUAGCGUUAUUCGGAAUUACUGGGCGUAAAGCGAGCGUAGGCGGAUUUGUAAGUUGGAGGUGAAAUCCCAGAGCUUAACUCUGGAACUGCCUUCAAAACUACAUUUCUUGAGUUUGGUAGAGGAGAGUGGAAUUCCUAGUGUAGAGGUGAAAUUCGUAGAUAUUAGGAGGAACACCAGUGGCGAAGGCGACUCUCUGGGCCAAUACUGACGCUGAGGUUCGAAAGCAUGGGUAGCGAACAGGAUUAGAUACCCUGGUAGUCCAUGCAGUAAACGAUGAGUGCUAGAUGUUGGGAAUUUAAAUUUCCAGUAUCGCAGUUAACGCGUUAAGCACUCCGCCU
rnacentral:rRNA from 1 species